rnacentral:rRNA from 1 species
UGCAACUCGCCUGCAUGAAGUUGGAAUUGCUAGUAAUCGCGAAUCAGAAUGUCGCGGUGAAUACGUUCCCGGGCCUUGUACACACCGCCCGUCACACCAUGAGAGUCGAUAACACCCGAAGCCUGUGAGCUAACCUUUUAGGAGGCAGCAGUCGAAGGUGGGGUUGAUGAUUGGGGUGAAGUCGUAACAAGGUACC